UCUGACUGGCCUGGCUCGGGUCAUGUGGCCAGGGAGCAGGCAGGAUCAGCCCCAUCCAAUCCUGGUGGAAAGAAUUCUCUAUAAGAAGGAAAGGUUCUACUCUAAGAGGCAACAAAAAUCCAUGGUUGGCUUCCCUUGCAUCAAAGAAGUCAAAGUAUUCAACUCCAGAGGGUGUGUAUUUUUAAAAUGAAAACAACAACAACAAAAUCAAAACAAAACCAGAAAGAGAGGAAAAGAAAAUCCAAUGAUCUUUUGGAGUCAGAGAAACUGUGCACAGAGAGCCCCGAGCUUCACGGAAAUGCUCCAUGACGGUGGGUCAGGCUGGCUGAGGCUUCCAAGCUGGUGCGUUGUCCAUGAGGGCAGGGAAGACACUCCCCCAAUACUUAUAUGUACUCUACUGAGCCUUCCAGAGACC
rnacentral:lncRNA from 1 species